CAUCGCCACGGUAACACCAGCACCUCGAGUGGUCAGGAGGUUUAUUGGGCCUAAAGCAUCCGUAGCCGGUUGCAUAAGUUUUCGGUUAAAUCUAUGCGCUUAACGUAUAGGCCGCCGAAAAUACUGUGCAGCUAGGGAGUGGGAGAGGUACACGGUACUCGAUAGGAAGGGGUAAAAUCCUUUGAUCUAUUGAUGACCACCUGUGGCGAAGGCGGUGUACCAGAACACGUUCGACGGUGAGGGAUGAAAGCUGGGGGAGCAAACCGGAUUAGAUACCCGUGUAGUCCCUGUCUCUUAUACA
rnacentral:rRNA from 1 species